GAUGAACGCUGGCGGCGUGCCUAAUACAUGCAAGUCGAGCGAACAGACGAGAGUGCUUGCACUCUCUGACGUUAGCGGCGGACGGGUGAGUAACACGUGGGUAACCUACCUAUAAGACUGGGAUAACUUCGGGAAACCGGAGCUAAUACCGGAUAAUAUUUAGCUUCGCAUGAAGCAAUAGUGAAAGACGGUUCUGCUGUCACUUAUAGAUGGACCCGCGGUGCAUUAGCUAGUUGGUGAGGUAACGGCUCGCCAAGGCAACGAUACAUAGCCGACCUGAGAGGGUGAUCGGCCACACUGGGACUGAGACACGGCCCAGACUCCUACGGGAGGCAGCAGUAGGGAAUCUUCCGCAAUGGACGAAAGUCUGACGGAGCAAUGCCGCGUGAGUGAAGAAGGUUUUCGGAUCGUAAAACUCUGUUGUAAGGGAAGAACAAGUACGUUAGUAACUGAACGUACCUUGACGGUACCUUACCAGAAAGCCACGGCUAACUACGUG
rnacentral:rRNA from 1 species